rnacentral:rRNA from 1 species
UACGUAGGGUGCAAGCGUUGUCCGGAAUCACUGGGCGUAAAGGGUGCGUAGGCGGGUUUUUAAGUCAGGGGUGAAAUCCUGGAGCUCAACUCCAGAACUGCCUUUGAUACUGAAGAUCUUGAGUCCGGGAGAGGUGAGUGGAACUGCGAGUGUAGAGGUGAAAUUCGUAGAUAUUCGCAAGAACACCAGUGGCGAAGGCGGCUCACUGGCCCGGUACUGACGCUGAGGCACGAAAGCGUGGGGAGCAAACAGG